rnacentral:rRNA from 1 species
AAGUCGUAACAAGGUCUCCGUUGGUGAACCAGCGGAGGGAUCAUUACCGAGUUUACAACUCCCAAACCCCUGUGAACAUACCUUAUGUUGCCUCGGCGGAUCAGCCCGCGCCCCGUAAAAAGGGACGGCCCGCCGCAGGAACCCUAAACUCUGUUUUUAGUGGAACUUCUGAGUAUAAAAAACAAAUAAAUCAAAACUUUCAACAACGGAUCUCUUGGUUCUGGCAUCGAUGAAGAACGCAGCAAAAUGCGAUAAGUAAUGUGAAUUGCAGAAUUCAGUGAAUCAUCGAAUCUUUGAACGCACAUUGCGCCCGCCAGUAUUCUGGCGGGCAUGCCUGUUCGAGCGUCAUUUCAACCCUCAAGCCCAGCUUGGUGUUGGGAGCUGCAGUCCUGCUGCACUCCCCAAAUACAUUGGCGGUCACGUCGAGCUUCCAUAGCGUAGUAAUUUACACAUCGUUACUGGUAAUCGUCGCGGCCACGCCGUUAAACCCCAACUUCUGAAUGUUGACCUCGGAUCAGGUAGGAAUACCCGCUGAACUUA